rnacentral:rRNA from 1 species
GCGCGGAAACUUUACAAUGCACGCAAGUGUGAUAAGGGAAUCCAAAGUGCUUACGCUUUGCGUAGGCUUUUGCCAAGUCUAAACAGCUUGGAGAAUAAGUGGUGGGUAAGACUGGUGCCAGCAGCCGCGGUAACCCCAGCGCCACGAGUGGGAGUCGCUUUUAUUGGGCCUAAAGCGUCCGUAGCCUGUUUUGUAAGUCUUUUGUGAAAUUGUUAGGCUUAACCUAACAGCGCGCAAGAGAUACUGCAUUUCUAGAGACCGGGAGGAGUAUGGGGUAUUCCAUGGGGAACGGUAAAAUGUAAUAAUCCAUGGAGGACCACCAGUGGCGAAGGCGCCAUACUAGAACGGAUCUGACGGUGAGGGACGAAGGCUAGGGGAGCAAAACGG